ACGGAGGGUGCGAGCGUUAUUCGGAAUUACUGGGCGUAAAGCGCGUGCAGGCGGUUUGGCAAGUCUGAUGUGAAAGCCCCGGGCUUAACCUGGGAAGUGCAUUGGAAACUGCCGGACUUGAGUACUGGAGAGGAAGGGGGAAUUCCCGGUGUAGAGGUGAAAUUCGUAGAGAUCGGGAGGAAUACCAGUGGCGAAGGCGCCCUUCUGGACGGUUACUGACGCUGAGACGCGAAAGCGUGGGGAGCAAACAG
rnacentral:rRNA from 1 species